rnacentral:piRNA from 1 species
CAAAAAGCAGGCAGCAAGAAUUCU